rnacentral:tRNA from 1 species
GCCGGGGUCUCCUAGUCUGGAAUGGAGCAGGCCUGGAGAGCCUGUGACCCUUCUGGGUCGCGUGGGUUCAAAUCCCACUCCCGGCG